CUAGUAAUCGCGCAUCAGCCACGGCGCGGUGAAUACGUUCCCGGGCCUUGUACACACCGCCCGUCAAGCCAUGGGAGCCGGGGGUGCCUGAAGGCCGUGACCGCGAGGAGCGGCCUAGGGUAAAACUGGUNACUGGGGCUAAGUCGUAACAAGGUAUC
rnacentral:rRNA from 1 species